GCCGCACCUAGCCCGACGGGGUGAAUCGCCGGACACUUCAACCGGCUUGGUGCGGCUCCUAUUUGAAGG
rnacentral:sRNA from 1 species